AUGGUUUCCCGAGGUCCUCCACGUCUCUAUGGUUUCCAGCAGGGCACCACGCGCCCAGGGGACACUCUACCCCCCCCCCCCCCCCCCUCUAUGACCCCCCCCCCCCCCCCAAAAAAAAGGCCCCGCGCAGCCACGCCCACAGCUCCAAGCGCUUUAUUGGGGGGGGAUGGGGGGGGGGCAGGGGGGCACCCAUGGGUGCUGGGGGCAGGGGGGGUUGGGGGCUCAGCUGAUGUAGACGCGGUGGAAGUCGUGGGCGCCGAAGGCGGCGUUGCACUUGGGGCACUUGCGCUGGCGGGUGUCGUAGCGGCUCUUGACGCACUCGAAGCAGAAGACGUGGAAGCACUUGGUGAGGACGGCGUCCUUCUUGCGGGCGUUGCAGCACGGGCACGGCGGGUGGGGCGGGGGGGGGGACAGGGGGGGGGCCGUCAGCACCGCCCGGGCACCCAUGGGUGCUGGGGAUGCACCCAAAGGUCCUUGGGAUGUAGCCCAGGUCUUCUGACCACACCCAUGGGUGCUAGGAACCAACCCCAAAGUCCUCUGACCCCAUCCCAGGUCCUCCAAGGUCAACUGAAGAGCACCCAUGGGUGCUCCAACCCCACCCAUGGGUGCUAGGACCCAACACCAAGGUCCUCCAAGCCCGUCUAAGGUCCUCCAAGGUCAACUCAAGAGCACCCAUGGGUGCUCCAACCCCACCCAUGGGUGCUAGGACCCAACCCUAAGGUCCUCCAACCCCAUCCCAGGUCCUUCAAGGUCAACUCAAGAGCCCUCCGACCCCACCCAUGGGUGCUCCAACUCAACCCCAAGGUCCUCCAAGCCCAUCCCAGGUCCUCUGACCCCACCCAAGGGUGCUCCAGCCCCACCCAUGGGUGCUACCACCCAACCCCAAGGUCUUCCAGACCAACCCAAGGACCUCCAACCUUCACCCAAGGUCUUCCAACUCCACCCAUGGGUGCUAGGACCCAACCCAUGGGUGCUACAACCCAACCCCAAGGUCCUCCAAGCCCAUCCCAGGUCCUCUGACCCCACCCAUGGGUGCUCCAGCCCCACCCAUGGGUGCUCCAACCCAACCUGAAGGUUCUCCAAGCCCAUCUAAGGUCCUCCAACCCCACCCAUGGGUGCUGUGACCUAACCCCAAGGUCUUCCCUCUCCAUCCAAGGUUCUCCAACCCCACCCAUGGGUGCUAGGACCCAAUCCCAAGGUCCUCCAACCCCAUCUAAGGUCCUCCAAAGUCAACUCAAGAGCCCUCCGACCCCACCCAUGGGUGCUCCAACUCAACCCCAAGGUCCUCCAAGCCCGUCUAAGGUCCUCCAAGGUCAACUCAAGAGCACCCAUGGGUGCUCCAACCCCACCCAUGGGUGCUAGGACCCAACCCCAAGGUCUUCCAGACCAACCCAAGGACCUCCAACCUUCACCCAAGGUCUUCCAACUCCACCCAUGGGUGCUAGGACCCAACCCAUGGGUGCUACAACCCAACCCCAAGGUCCUCCAAGCCCAUCCCAGGUCCUCUGACCCCACCCAAGGGUGCUCCAACCCCACCCAUGGGUGCUAGGACCCAACCCCAAGGUCUUCCAGACCAACCCAAGGACCUCCAACCUUCACCCAAAGUCUUCCA
rnacentral:lncRNA from 1 species